AUUUGGUAUUAAUCGUAAAUUGCAGCUGAUGAUUGAUCGGAUGUAAUGAGCUAUGAGGGCCGAGUUCAUUUGCUGAUAACAAACAAAUUCAAUAAAACGAAAAGGGUUCCAUUUAAAAACGACAACUGAGGAGAAAGUCACAAUGCGCUAGUUAAGAUGCACUGAGCAUUCAAGAUACUUGGAUUAACGUCCGUGUUUGUCGGAACCGAAACUACAACUAAAAGAUGCACUGAGCAUUCAAGAUACUUGGAUUAACGUCCGUGUUUGUCGGAACCGAAACUACAACUAAAAGAUGCACUGAGCAUUCAAGAUACUUGGAUUAACGUCCGUGUUUGUCGGAACCGAAACUACAACUAAAAUAGUGAGUCAUAUAUUUUCAGAAAACAUUCUAGAAAUGAUAUAAAAGAGAUGGAAUAGAUAAACGUUUGUGCUUUCCAUCUUCAACAUCUGGAGUUCCAUGAUCACAAUGGCUACUGUUCUCCUUAAGCCGUCUGAGAUAAGAUUCUCACAAGACAGUAUAAGCAACAAGUUUUCGGGUGCGAUACAGAAUAGGUAUAUUGGUGAUGUACUUGAUCAAAUUUACAAUGGCGACAUAACAUUUCUUAAAAACAAAAUCCUGGCAAACAUGAAAGUGGGUCGCUGGAAUAAACCCGGAUACGAUCAGCUUUGGUUCACCGUUAACAACAGAAGCCUUUGGGUGCUGAAAGAACUCGAGCUACUUGGGAAAAUAAACGGUCAAAUCCAAAUACAAAUUGAUCCGCAUCAUAUCGACGCCAAGCGUUUUACUACUAAAAACAAAGGGACAACAGUUAUUGUCCGGCAAAGACCAGUAGGAGGAACCAGGGCACAGCCUGCUGAGUUUUGGGCAUAUAAACAGCCGCCAGUUAUUGGAGCCACCCAGUACGGUGCGGGUAUGUUCGCGCCAGCCAGCCUGUUCGGUGCGGUAGCGGCCUUAUUCGGUGGAGGCGGACUGUACGUGGAAGAGGAUGAUGGAUAUGAUUCCGACGAAUAUUAUAUCUAAGGGCGAUUAAUCGGGGAGGAAUCGUGUUAAGUCGGACUUGUGGCAUCGGCGAUCCUCGUUGGAUCAUUUUUGAUCGAUAUACGUGAGCGUUGUUCCAUGAACGCAAAAGAACUUGUUCGAUCAUAAGAAAAUGCCAACGCAUAUUUCCUUGUUUAUACUUUUCAAGUAAUUAAAAGAACAUCAAUUAGAA